ACGGUGUUAAAUUCGGUGAGGCUGUAUGGUUCAAGGCUGGAUCCCAGAUCUUCAGCGAGGGUGGUCUUGAUUACUUGGGCAACCCCAGCUUGAUCCACGCACAAAGCAUCUUGGCCAUCUGGGCUUCCCAGGUUGUGUUGAUGGGUGCCGUUGAGGGUUACAGAGUUGCCGGCGGGCCACUAGGAGAGGUGACCGACCCAAUCUACCCAGGUGGAAGCUUUGACCCAUUGGGUUUGGCUGAUGACCCAGAGGCAUUCGCUGAGUUGAAGGUGAAGGAGAUCAAGAACGGUAGAUUGGCUAUGUUCUCUAUGUUUGGAUUCUUUGUUCAGGCCAUUGUUACAGGAAAGGGACCAUUGGAGAACUUGGCUGACCACCUUGCUGAUCCCGUCAACAACAAUGCCUGGGCAUAUGCCACAAACUUUGUCCCCGGAAAGUGAGCUUAAAAAAGGAGAUUUUUU
rnacentral:lncRNA from 1 species